rnacentral:tRNA from 1 species
GCCCGGAUGGUGAAAUUGGUAGACACAGGAGACUUAAAAUCUCCCGCCUUAAUCGGCGUGCCGGUUCGAUUCCGGCUCCGGGCA